UCUCGUUGUUGCUAUUCUCAUACUUUUUUCUCAUCUGCUAGGUGUUUAACUGUGACUUUGAAAGAAGGAACGUUGUGUUUUUAAUAAGAAUUGUAAAUAGCCAGUUGACCUUUGCUAUUGAUUUUCAAGUCCGACUAUUCUGUUUUUUCAAGAAAAUGCUGGAAACAUCCUUCUACUUUUAUCUCAUUCAACCACUUUCAUGUGACGGAUGAAACUUGGCUUUGCGGCUUGUAUCUCUUUGAUUCUGUUAUUAUUGUUUGAAGACCUUAACUUUCUUUUGCUAAGAUAUUUCUCAUCGCCUUGAAAUGGUCUGAGUUAUAAUAGAGAAGUUGCAAUGCAAUGUUUUUUAUGUGUUCUUACAGAGGUUAUGGUGCAAGUGAUGUAUAUCCUUCUCAGCAUGGAAUCAUUAAGGACACUCAGGUUUGGUUCUUCAUUGGGCACCCAUUGUUUAUGCAGCUGCAAUAUCUGGUCAAAGUGUUGACAAGUUGUUCUUUUAAAGGUUUUCACAACUCCAAGGGAGGGGCACUUUACCAAAGAGGAGUUGGAUGAAGUUCGAGACAAUUGGGCUACUUAUUUCAACGAUUGUGAACUACCCUCAGUGUAAUAAAUAGAGCAGGCUUGUAGUUAUCCGUGACUCUUACAUUAUUUUGUUAUUUAUCGAUUUAAUUAAUUACAUUUGAAUUAA